rnacentral:misc_RNA from 1 species
GGGAGCUUGAUGGGAAUCUUCAUCGGUGACCGUCGCUGUCACCGUCGCCAAAGAACUGCAUCCAGCGGGCAAAAGCACUCGGGAACUAGGGCAGCUGCAACCAACAUGCAGGGAUUUGUUGUCCUCCCAAUCCAGUAUCUUUUCUGGAGGUGUUAUUGUCCCUUCAAGAACUCCAAUUAUCUUCCGCAUUUGUGGGCGAUACUUUGAAUGUCUAUUUGUGCAAGCUAUAGCACAAAAUAUCAUCCGUUUUAUUUGCUCUUCGUCAUAGCUUUUCUCUAGUUUGAAAUCAAUAAGAGCCACAAUUAUCUGUUUGAUUUUCUGUUCGUCAUAACUCUGCCGUAUGGAGUCAAUCAGAGCUGUAUAUUCUCCAUUAUCCAAAG